CGGCAGCGCGGGGGCAACCCUGGCGGCGAGUGGCGAACGGGUGAGUAAUAUAUCGGAACGUGCCCUAGAGUGGGGGAUAACGUAGCGAAAGUUACGCUAAUACCGCAUACGAUCUACGGAUGAAAGGGGGGGAUCGCAAGACCUCUCGCUCCUGGAGCGGCCGAUAUCUGAUUAGCUAGUUGGCGGGGUAAAAGCCCACCAAGGCGACGAUCAGUAGCUGGUCUGAGAGGACGACCAGCCACACUGGGACUGAGACACGGCCCAGACUCCUACGGGAGGCAGCAGUGGGGAAUUUUGGACAAUGGGGGCAACCCUGAUCCAGCAAUGCCGCGUGUGUGAAGAAGGCCUUCGGGUUGUAAAGCACUUUUGUCAGGAACGAAACGGACUAGGCUAAUACCUUGGUCUAAUGACGGUACCUGAAGAAUAAGCACCGGCUAACUACGUGCCAGCAGCCGCGGUAAUACGUAGGGUGCAAGCGUUAAUCGGAAUUACUGGGCGUAAAGCGUGCGCAGGCGGUUUUGUAAGUCUGACGUGAAAUCCCCGGGCUUAACCUGGGAAUGGCGUUGGAGACUGCAAGGCUAGAGUUUGGCAGAGGGGGGUAGAAUUCCACGUGUAGCAGUGAAAUGCGUAGAUAUGUGGAGGA
rnacentral:rRNA from 1 species